rnacentral:lncRNA from 1 species
CACUGGAGUGCUGUUUAUUACCACUUAACUGUAACUGGUGGAGGAAAAGAAUGUGACAAAGUGACGUGUAAAGCUUGAGAUUUCAAGUGCACAUAAGUUUUGGAGACUUCUGUUUUCUUGUGCACUUAAUGUGUUUGGCAUUGUGAACAAAGGAUUGAGUGUGGAAGCACAUUGAUCUAUCUGCACCUUAGUGUUCAGAAAUGUCUGUAAAUAGAGCUGUACUUUAUACUUGUAUUCACAGCUAACCAACUUCUUCCGUGUAAACACUAUUAGCAGCUCUAACAUUGAAAACAAAUAGAACUUUUAUUCUAAUAUUUAACAACGUUAAAUGAGCAAUUACUUCUGUGCUAAGAGGCUACCUGACCAUACUAAUUUUUAUGUAAUGCUAAUAUUCAAAUGUAGUUAUCUCAUUCUUUUGUGAGAUUAAGAAAAGCAGCCUAAAGGUCUUAAUGGAUAUGCUUAAUAUUAUUCUGUGUUAACUUAAUAGAUUUCUUCUUUCAGUUGCUUCCUGCUAGCUUGUUUCUGAGUUAGGAGAUUGUACAUAAAGCAAGAGGUGCACCCCAUGGACUGCCUAACCAGUAUAAUUCAAGCUGCUCUAUACUUCAGCAUAAAGGAAAUCACAUAAAAGUUGGUCUUUCAGACUGAAUCUGUAGUCAGUUUUAUUGGUACAUCUUAAAAAGAUAUAAAGACAUUCCGGAAGUGUCUGGAAGAAUUGAGAGAAUCAAAAUCUUGCAAAAAUAUAUUUAUAGCAGACUAAAGUUCUUUUGACAUUUCAUUAAUAAAUACUUAGAUAUACAAUCCUCCCCUCCCCCCAUAAACUUAAUUUCCUUUUAUCCCAAACAACUCCUUUACCGUUCAUUCUAGCACUGUCAAAAAGCCAGAACCAUUCCUGUAUAAAAGACUUAGAAAGUUCUCCUUCCGCUUUUAAAAUUAAGAGCUUUACCAAAUCUUUGUGCAAAAAAUGUACGUGAGUACAAUUGGAUAAGAAAAUUGAAUGUCUGUACAAACGCGUGUCACGAGAACAGCGGCCUCCUUGGUCCCAUCUCCUCUCUGAAAGACAUCAGUCAUUGUCUGAACCUGCAGGGGGUAAGAAGACGAGUGCAUCACUGUAAGUGUGGCCGUAUGGCCGCAGCCUGUAAACGCCGUACAUCAUCACAUGCAUGUGGUUGGGAGACAGUCCAUUGAAAGUGAUGGCCAUAUCUGAGCAGCAGCCGUCCACCACCUGCUCAGGCCGACUAGCCAUUGCCUCUUUAAUGAGAGCAUUGACUGAUUUAGUGUUAAAAACAUCCUUUCCUUCAGAGUCCUCUGCAUUUUCAGCAAUCACUCCAGUAUACUUGAGGCAUACUGCUAGUUGUUUAUCUUCAGAAAGCUUCCAAAUCAUACCGCCUUGCUCUGGACAUUUGUCAGAGUCUUCAAAAACAUGUGAGAGUCGUCUUAGUGAUUCAAUGCUCAAAACAAUUCCUCCCUCACCAUCUACGUAUUCCAGGUCACCAGAUUUCAUAGUAUGGCCUAUGUAAAAAGGCUGCGCGGGGUCUUUCUUCAGUAAGAAAUACUUGAGAUUUUCAAUAAUAGCAAAUGUUGUUGGAUAGGCAAGGAAGAACCAGUUGAAUUCAUCUUUGUAACGCUCAUAGGUUAUCUUGUAAGCUUUUCUCAUCAUUGUCCACAUAUCAUUUGUGUUGAGGACUACAGCGUUGAACACUUUAACGUCCUCAGAGCUGUAGAACUCUGCCUUGUCGCAGUGUUUGCUCCACGUCUCUUUCACGGCAGCCCAGUGCCCGAUGUCUUUGGGUUUCACGAGGACGAUGCAGUAAACGCGGAUGCUCUGGCUGAGCUCCAGCUGUUCAUCUUCCGAAAGAUUUAACACUUCUUCUUUGUUGGGAGCCUGAAUGUGAUGGUGCUCGUGAUGAUGUGCUCUGGUCCCGUGGCCGAUCUUAACGUGUCCAAGAAGCGUGACCACCACGCAGAAUAUUCCUCCCAGCAGCACGCCCUUCAUGAAAGAACUGCUUUCGGAAAGCAUUGUUCCUGGAAAGGAGACACACUUUAGGAACCGAUAAGAGAUAAGCGCACCCCACCGUUUCCGUGCGUAAGCGUGGCGGCAGGCACCGGGCAGCCCCUCCGCAGGCAGCGCGCCCACCGCACCUUCUGCUCUCAUUCGCGGCCCCACCGGGCCGAGCCCCGCGGCCCCCGGCGCCCUCAGCCGCCGCGGCCGUGCCCGCUCCCGUUCUCCCCCGGGUCGCCGGUAACCGGCCUAGGCCCGACGCCGCCGCCCGUGCCAGGACACCGGCACGCGCCGCGUCCCGCCUCUUCCGGCUCCUGUUCCGGUUCCCGGCGGAAGUGCCGCGCGGAUCUUCCGCUCCCGGUUGCCGCCGGCUCCCCUCGCGGCGGUCGCUGGGCGGCGUCGCCAUCUCGUAGGGAAAACGGGGGGGGACGAAACGGGUGAGAACAGCAGGUGGCACCGUUUCCUCCCGAGGUGCCGUUGCGUUCCCCUGCGCACACCGCGCCGAACUGGCGGCCCCGCGUCUCUCCGCGAUGUGGCAGCAGUGGUGCCGCACGCGUCGUUCGGUUUGGGAGGGCCCCAUUAAAACGAGGGCGAGAUCUGUCCUGGUGUUUUGUCCCGGUGCAUUUCAGAAAUCCCUUGCACUUCUACAGCUGUACUCGCGACGUGGCCGGCAGGCUGUCCGCUAGUGUGGCUUCUCGCUUCAAACGCAGAUUCCUUGUUGUUUUCGAACAUGAAUUGAAGUACACAGAUCUUUGAAGUGCUUUGGUAACGUUUGUUCUUUGAAACCAGGAACGUGCCUCCUAAACGGUAACUGAUGGAUAACGGGAGGAGCCCGUUGCGCUGAGGACACCCCUGCGAUUUGUUGGGCUGCUUCGGGUGACUGGCAGUGAAUCGGUGGGGCUUCGUGCUGAGCCGUGCUGGUUUCUCUGGGCACUGACAGGCGUUGGGCACGAGGUGUGCCUGACGGGCGCCGUUUCUGACUGGAUUUUGUAACUGUAAGCUCGUGGUUAAAGAAACUUAUUAUCUAAGCAAGUCUGCCAGAAUGAGCUAUGCUUCUCAAUCUAUAAUUAAGCACACAAAUAAAUUUGACCUGACUUUAACUCACCUGCAGGUUUUACUGAAUGCGACAUGUUCCUGUGUACUGAUGUGAGCCAAGCUUGUGACCUAUGUAAACUUUUGUUAGUCUUCCUGGGUGCUUGGUAAAGUCUAAUGCUCCCUUUGCAUAGAUAACGGUUUGCACUUCUGUAUUUUCACAGGCCACAUCUGGGUUUUUUUUACCGACCAAAAAUAAAGAUCUUUGUGGAUCAAAAAUCUGGGAAUGUCAAGUCACAGGUUCCAUGGGGAGAUGUUACCCAAGUACCCAUGAGCUUCCAAACUGACAGCUUCUUUGCGGUGCUUCUCAAGGAGGUUGUCUACAACCUCAUAAUACAAUCACAGGGAUGUUUGACACGUAGCACUAUAAGGAUGCUUCACUCCUUGUCUUGUAGCAUCCAGUCACAGCAGUUAGCCUGCAGGCUGAGAGUGCUAUUUUUGCACUUUGCCAGAUCUGCAAAACCCGUCCCACUGUUUCCUCUCAGUGUUGCCACCUGCAAAUUCCUUGGUCCCAGCAGAGGACCUCUCCUGCACUCAUGGCUAGUCUCAUGUAAGAGAUGUGAUCUUCUGAGGCAGGGAGAAUCAAUGCCAACCACUGUAGGCAGGUGCUCUGCCAGCAGGGCCUCUUUUCACUGUGGUGAGUAGAGCUGCUUCUGGAAUGGGAGCAUGGGAAAUGAACAUGUGUCUGCCCGGAGAAAGAAGUAAUGCCACAGCUGUCUUUUGAGGAGCCUGUUGGGUGCUGCUGUGUCUGAUAGCAAGGUGAGAUGGAGGGAGAGGAAGAGGAACCCCCUUAUACAGCUCUUGGUACUCAAAGAGAAACACCUAACAAUUACGGUCACCCUCAUGCUCUGUCUUUUCAGGUGCUUUUGUUGUGAAGAACAGAAGUCAACAGCAGCCAAAAUGUAAUUGCCAGAUACAUGCAUCGCUUGCUGUCCCAUGUUUCCAGGGGUCUAUGCUUACCCUUGCAAACUCAAACUCAUUGCAAAGUCUGUGUGUCUGCAAGAGAACAAACAGCUGUCAUCUGGUAGCCUGGAGGCCGCCAGCCCAACGUCCCUUCUCCAGACAGAGACAGCUCUAGGAGCAGACCAUGGCACUUGGGACUUGCUUGGGAUUUUGCCUGGUGAAAGCUUGGGAACCUCCAGGGGUGGAGCUAGAACAGCUGAUGGGGGCAACUGUGCCAUGGGGUGUGGGUGCCCUCUUGUCUGUGUUAAAUGUAGUUAGGUAAUUUGGAUCCUUUAUUCAGAGCUGGGAAAGAAACUUCUGCUUUUGUAGUGUGUUCAUUCUUAUGAAUUCACACGAUAAAAGGAGAUGGAUCUGGAGGCAUUUGGAGAGGGAAUUCAAAUAUCUUUUCAGGCCAUCAAAUAUUGUUGUAUUUAUUAUCAAGCCAGAGCCACAAUUUGAUCCAAGGUCUGAAGACCAAGGAAGUUUUAAAGCAUAAUCAUAGAAUCAUAGAGAAUCAUAGAAUGGACUGAGUUGGAAGGGACCUUAAAGUUUGUGUAUAUCUAGGCCCCUGCAGUGGGCUGGUUGCCAUCCACUAUAUCACACUGCCCAGGGCCUCAUGCAGCCUGGUUGUGAACACCUCCAAGAAUGGGGCAUCCACAGAUUGUCU